CUCGCCCGGUGCAGCCCUGGCCGCCGGGCGCACCCGUCCCGUUCGUCCCCGGACGUUGCUCUCUGCCCCGGGAACGUCGAGACUGGAGCGCCCGAACUGAGCCACCUUCGCGAACCCGGAGCGCGGCGGCCCGACUCACCGCGGAAGCGCCCGGACGCGUAAAGACCAGUCACAUCUGAUCAUCACUCCUUCCUCAUGUGGGACACCUGAGAAAGUAGCUGUCAGCCUUCCUGGGCAGCUGCUGGUGUGUGGGAAUGGGCUAUACUCCACACCUCAGGAUUCCAGAGCACUGGAUGAAGCACCCAGGCCUUUUGACUCCUAUGGCCUCCUGUACAGGGGAGCCCAGCCUUCCUGCCUGGACUGUCCUCAACGGAGCACAUGCUCUCUACUCGGCCUGUUCUUCCUCAGUGGCCAGCAGCCUACACAGCAGAUGAAGUUCUGUGUCUGCCUGGCAGAGCUGCCCCUCCCAGGCUGGCUCAGCUGGGAUCCCCUGGAAUGACUGCUGAGAGGUGCCCAAUAAAGUUUUGUGCCAUGA